CACGUGGGUAACCUGCCUUGCAGAGGGGGAUAACAGUUUGAAAAGACUGCUAAUACCGCAUAAGCACACAGUACCGCAUGGUACGGGGUGAAAAGAUUUAUCGCUGUAAGAUGGACCCGCGUCUGAUUAGCUAGUUGGCAGGGUAACGGCCUACCAAGGCGACGAUCAGUAGCCGACCUGAGAGGGUGAUCGGCCACAUUGGGACUGAGACACGGCCCAA
rnacentral:rRNA from 1 species